rnacentral:rRNA from 1 species
AUGGAGGUGAAGGUGCUGAGCUCCAGGCUCGUCAAGCCGGCCUACAAGGCCGGCGCUCCGGCCACGGAGUACAUCCCUCUGUCCGUCUUCGACACGGUCACGUACCAGAUCCAGAUGGCCAUCAUCUACGCCUUCGCGCCGCCCGCGCCGUCCACCGCCGCCAUCGAGAAGGGCCUCGCGGCCGUGCUCUCCCAGUACCGCGCGUUCGCGGGCAAGGUCGGCGAGUCCCCCGACGGCGCGCCGGCCGUGGUCCUGAACGACCGCGGCGCGCGCCUCGUGGAGGCGUCCGUGGACGCCGACCUCGUCGACAUGGCCCCGGCCAAGCCCACGCCGGCGCUGCUCAAGCUGCACCCGGACCUGGACGCGGAGCACCAGGAGGUGGUGCUGCUGCAGCUCACGCGGUUCCGCUGCGGCUCCCUCGCGGUCGGGUUCACGUCCAAGCACGUCGUCGCCGACGGCCACGCCACCAGCAACUUCCUCGUCGCCUGGGGCCGCGCCACCAGGGGGCUGCCCAUGGGCCUCCCGCCCGUGCACCACCAGAAGGACCUCUUCAAGCCGCGCUCCUCGCCGGCUCGCCCGGAGCACGACCACCGCAGCAGGGAGUACCACCGGCCGUCGCCCGCCGCCGGCCAUCACCACGGGGACGACGGCGCCGAGAGCAACAUCGUCAUCCACAAGGCGCACUUCACCAAGGACUUCAUCGCGGGGCUCCGCGCCAGGGCGUCGGAGGGGCGCGGGCGGCCGUUCAGCCGGUUCGAGACCAUCCUGGCCCACCUCUGGCGCACCAUGACGCGGGCGCGGGACCUGAGCCCCGGCGAGGCGACGUCGAUCCGGAUAUCCGUGGACGGGCGGCACCGGCUGGGGAAGCCGGCGGAGUACUUCGGCAACCUGGUGCUGUGGGCGUUCCCGCGAGCCACGGUGGGCGACCUGCUGGGCCGGCCGCUGAAGCACGCGGCGCAGGCGAUCCACGAGGAGGUGGCGAGGGUGGACGGCGGCUACUUCCAGUCGUUUGUGGACUUCGCGGCCUCCGGCGCGGCGGAGAAGGAGGGGCUGGCGCCGAGCGCGGUGCUCAAGGACGUGGUGUGCCCGGACGUGGAGGUGGACAGCUGGCUGACGUUCCCGUUCUACGAGCUGGACUUCGGGACGGGGAGCCCCAGCUACUUCAUGCCGUCCUACUUCCCCACGGAGGGGAUGCUGUUCCUGGCGCCGUCCUACCUCGGCGACGGCAGCGUCGACGCCUUCGUCCCCGUGUUCCGGCACAACCUCCAGGCCUUCAAGGAAUGCUGCUACUCCAUGGAGUAG